rnacentral:rRNA from 1 species
GACGGAGGAUGCAAGCGUUAUCCGGAAUGAUUGGGCGUAAAGCGUCCGCAGGUGGCAGUUCAAGUCUGCUGUCAAAGACCGGGGCUUAACUUCGGAAAGGCAGUGGAAACUGAACAGCUAGAGUAUGGUAGGGGCAGAGGGAAUCCCUGGUGUAGCGGUGAAAUGCGUAGAGAUCAGGAAGAACAUCGGUGGCGAAGGCGCUCUGCUGGACCAUAACUGACACUCAGGGACGAAAGCUAAGGGAGCGAAUGGG